rnacentral:rRNA from 1 species
GCAGCAGGCACGCAAAUUACCCACUCCCGGCACGGGGAGGUAGUGACAAAAAAUAACGAUACGGGACUCUAUUGAGGCCCCGUAAUCGGAAUGAGUACACUUUAAAUCCUUUAACAAGGAUCCAUUGGAGGGCAAGUCUGGUGCCAGCAGCCGCGGUAAUUCCAGCUCCAAUAGCGUAUAUUAAAGUUGUUGCGGUUAAAAAGCUCGUAGUUGGUUCUGCGUGCCGCGCUGUCGGUUCGCCGCCUGUCGGUGUAACUGGCAUGUCGCGGCAUGUCCUGUCGGUGGUGAACGGAGUCCACAAUGCUACAUAGGCUUUAUAGCCGAUGUUAGCGUUGUGUGCACUUCCGUUGGCCGAUCUCUCCUACUUCGGUGCUCUUAAACGAGUGUCGAGGUAGGCCGACACGUUCACUUUGAACAAAUUAGAGUGCUUAAAGCAGGCUGAAAUAUCUGCCUGAAUAGUGGUGCAUGGAAUGAUAAAACAGGACCUCGGUUCUAUUUUGUUGGUUUUAGGAAUAUGAGGUAAUGAUCAAUGUGGACUGGCGGGGGCAUUCGUAUUGCGACGUUAGAGGUGAAAUUCUUGGAUCGUCGCAAGACGCACUAGAGCGAAAGCAUUUGCCAAGUAUGUCUUAAUUGAUCAAGAACGAAAGUUAGAGGUUCGAAGGCGAUCAGAUACCGCCCUAGUUCUAACCAUAAACGAUGCCAGCCAGCGAUCCGCCGAUGUUCCUUUAAUGACUCGGCGGGGAGCUUCCACCCGGGAAACCAAAGCUUUUGGGUUCCGGGGGAAGUAUGGUUGCAAAGCUGAAACUUAAAGGAAUUGACGGAAGGGCACCACCAGGAGUGGAGCCUGCGGCUUAAUUUGACUCAACACGGGAAACCUCACCAGGCCAGGACAUUGGAAGGAUUGACAGAUUGAUAGCUCUUUCUUGAUUCAGUGGGUAGUGGUGCAUGGCCGUUC